rnacentral:rRNA from 1 species
UACGUAGGGUGCGAGCGUUGUCCGGAAUUAUUGGGCGUAAAGAGCUCGUAGGCGGUCUGUCGCGUCGAUCGUGAAAACUUGGGGCUUAACCCUGAGCCUGCAGUGGGUACGGGCAGACUAGAGUGUGGUAGGGGGGAGAUCGGAAUUCCUGGUGUAGCGGUGGAAUGCGCAGAUAUCAGGAGGAACACCGGUGGCGAAGGCGACACGCUGGGCCAUACCUGACGCUAAAGCGCGACAGCAUGGGGAGCAAACGGGAUAG